AACGCACAUUGCGCCCCGUGGUAUUCCGCGGGGCAUGCCUGUUCGAGCGUCAUUUCAACCCUCAAGCCCCGCUUGGUGUUGGGCCCUGCCCGCGUGGCCGGCCCUAAAGACAGUGGCGGUGCCGUGCGGCCCUAAGCGUAGUACAGCUCUCGCUCUAGGGUCGCGCGGUGGCCUGCCAGAACCCCCCAACUCUCGUGGUUGACCUCGGAUCAGGUAGGGAUACCCGCUGAACUUAA
rnacentral:misc_RNA from 1 species